AGGGAGAGCAGAAGGGGGGAGGAAGGAAGCGCGGAAGAGAGGAAGGAAGAGAGGAAGGGAGGGAAACAGACCCAGCUCCAAAGGACAAAAUCCAAUGGGAGGGAGCUCAAGCAAGGAGAGUUUCUUUAAAGACACAAGAAAUGAGAGGAAGCAGGAGGUUCCCAGGGGCUUGCGGGUAGGAGAGCUGAAAUUCAAAAUGGAAAUCUACCAAAGCAGCAACUAGGCCGGUUGCAAAGGACUCAGCUGAGGCAUGAGAACAUGGGCAGAAAUAUCAAGAGAACUCAAAUUGCAAAUUUAGAUGGUUGCUCUGAGGUGGGUGUGGGAAGCGGGAAGACUCUGUGGACCUCUUUUUUUUUUUUCACCUGUGAGCUAGGAGGUAUGGCAUUAAGGCCUUUGCCAGCCUGACAUCCUAUGAUUCUGUUUUCCUUGAAAUUUCCUCUUGCCAGAGCUGGCCAUAGUAAUUGCAGCACCUUUACUAAGCGUGAAGGGAAAGGGCUACUAUCAAAGUGACAGAAGGGCUCAACUGCAUUGCCAUUAUUUUCUUGAGAAGAAGGUGUGCCAGACACCGCCUUAUUUGAGGCUGCCCUUUUGGGAUUAGGGAUUUCGAUGGUUCUAGGCGGCAGCCUUUUGGGAACUAAAUACGGCAUUAUGGUUAAGAACUGGCCUCUGAGAUCAGACAAACAUGGUGACCUUGAGCAAAUGACAUAACCACUUUGACCCUCAGUUUCCUCGUCUGUUCAAGAAUAAUGAUUAUGAUGACUUGGGGAUGCUGUAAGGAUGAACUGAGAGGAUGUGUAUAAAGUGCUUGGCACAGUGCCUGGCACAGCCAUGGAGCUGAAGAUGAGAAGGGGAUACAGAUGCUGGCAAUAGGGUUUCUGAAGGGGAAUGAUUUAAUUUGAGUUUAUCCUGAUCCCCCUGGCUUUUGAACGAAGAAUGGAUUCAGGAGGGGGAUGGGAGUAGAAGUCACAAGACCAGUGAGCAGGCUAUUUCAGGAGGUAACAGAGUAGAGAGCCUCAUGUAAUUUCUAUUCUCCACUCACUCAGGGUCUAGAAUAGAGGGAUUCUCAAUGUUGGUUAAGCGUUAGAAUCACUCAGUGAGUUUUAAGAAUGCUGAUGCCUAGGCUGCACCCAUACCACUUAAAUUAGGGCCUCUGAGGCUAGGACCCCGCAUCAGUCCUCUCUGAAGCUCCCCAGAUGAUUCCAAUGUAUUGUCCUAACACAAUCACCCUCUCCAAGAAUAGCGGGAAGGGAGUUCCUUUGAGCACCUACUAUGUGUCUGUGGCUAUGCCAGUUUAAUUUGCUUACAUUUGGCCAGUGAAUCCCCCCACAGCUGUGAGAGAUGGGUAUUACUGUACCUACUUUAUGGAUGGGGAAACUGAGACUCAAAGUAUUUUGCUUCCCCUCCUCCUGGCCUUGAGGAAGUCACUUAAGCCUCUUUGAGACUCAGUUUCUUUGUGUAAAUUGGAGAUAAUUUCUACUCCAUAGCAUUGUCAGGAGAAUUAAACAAGGCAGGGCUGCCUACAUCUGGAACAUAUUAAGAGUACAAUAGAUUGUAACUAUUAUUAGCAGAGCCCCAGGCCCCAGAGUUAGUAAGAGGCGGAGGCAGGCAAUGAGCACCACACUGCACCUUCCCCCAUCGCACAGGCGCCAGCUCCACGGAAGGAGGCUGAAUUCUGGCUUGUUCCUGUGGGUUCCUCGUGAGUCCCAGUCCAGGCACAAGGAUCAGAGCACCCUGACCAUGACUGUGAGUCAGCGUCCACACCAGACACUCCAGCCACAUGGUUGCAGUUUUAGUAGGCCCUCCCUGCUUUUUUCUGAAUUAUGACUCCCUUUCACAAUUAGGGGCUUGCCCAAAGGCAUAAAGUAAGUUAGAGACAGCUAGGGAUGAGGGCUGCCUAAGCUAGGGAUGACAUUUCCUGCCUAAGACAUUUUCCUCUUCCACAAGGGAGUAGAGGGGAAGGUGAGGCUUGUCACAUUGGGUGAGUUAUUGCUA